CUGACUGCACCCUUUUUAAAGUUUUCUGAAAAAUAAUCAUCAGCAACCCCACCCACCUGUUUUUACUUUUCUUGCUUUCCUCUACCGGCACGAUUGAGGUGUUUGCAUCCGGGUUUCCAUUGCAGACAUGUAGGUGUUCAUCUCCCAUGGCUUCUUCAGGUGUUGGAGCCUCAACUCUGAAAGUUUGGUUCUUUGAGAGGAACAAAUUGUGGGUGUUCAACACUUUGAAGCAUCUGAAGAUUCUCCCCUAUGAACUUCAAAUUUUCAUUUGCACUCUCUCACACAGAUGUAUGCAAAGUUAUAAAUUCUAACCUGAAAAUGCGUUGAGGUGGGGGUUUGCUGCCAGAGGUUCGAAAGGGUGACGGAGUAGCUUUGGCAGAGCCAUCCCCGGAGGUGAGGCGCGCCGCAAUGCUACGGGCUGACAGAGCGGAGAGUGGAUCUGGCGGCGGUGAUGGUGACCAUUUGUCUCCGUCAAAAUUGCUUGGGUUUCCAGGGAAGAAGAACAGUAUGAUUUAAGGGUUCAAAAUGGUAGGGUCAUUAGGGGUGUUAUUAGAUUGAUGUUUUUUUUUACUUUUUAGGGUGUAGUUAGUUAAUUCGGUGGUGUAAAUAGUCCUCAUCUUUUUUAUUUGUACACCUCAAAAUCCUGGCAUUCGAGUGUUCUUGGACAAUUUGGAGAAGACGAUGAGCAGGAAGGGCUGAAACAGGAUUGCGAUGCAGACAUCCAAACACCAACUAGCUUGAAUCAUCUUCGGCUACUCAAUUUCAAGGUGAGUCCUUUCAGUCAAUUAACUCACUGUUCCUUUGCUAUCAUCAUCAUCCAAAGAGAAAUCAUAAACCUCGACUUCCUUCUAAGAAGAAUCAAUUCACACUUUCCUCCCUUAUAUAUACAAUCUAUACAUACGAUCCAAUACGUACCCGCACAAACACUCCAAGAACCAGCAACGUUUUUUUAAUCAAGAAUGGCAAGAGUCUACAUAUCUAAGCAAACCUCCUGCUGUUUAUGCUCUUACUGCGGGGGUAGAGCGUACCUAAGCGUAUGUGAGUUUAUUCUCCUAGUGUUGUGAGAAUCAGUCUGUGGGAUUGGUUUCUCUUUCAAGCCAUUUCGUUUGAAUCGAAGAGUCUGUUGACUCUCUUCAAUCUGCUGAGGUGGGUUCUCCAAUUUAAUUUGAAAGUUUAAUUGUUUACCCAACGACUUUUGCUGCUUUUGUGAGGAUGAUUGUGGAGGAUUUUAGGAAGUUAGUAUUAUCCUUCUUGGGUAGUCUUCUCUCACAGCCAGAAGUUAAGUUCUCUCACUUUAGUUUCCCUCUACAACCAUUUGUAAUUCUACAUAUCUUAAAAUGUGUUAUGACUGAGAAACUGAUUUGGUUUGUUGAUUUUCUUCAGUUGAAAUGGCUUAAUCUUCACCUUAUCAAGAUCUUGCCUUAUAUGAAUGAGGCAACUUCUAAGCUCAUAAAGGCUUCGGUUGAGCCAGUACUCGAACAAGACAGGGCGUACGUACUAUCAUCUCUGAAGUUUUCUAAAUUCACUCUUGGUUAUGUUCUUCGUUGUGAAAGUUAAGUUCAAAAUGGCCUGGAGCCAUAUUUUCUCGGCAUGUGAUGGAUAAACUGCCAGGAAGGACCUACCCCUCCCUCAUGGAAUUGUGCAUACAUAAAAUACGCGAGAACAUUGACAAGCAUAGUUCAUUGUCGGUGCUGCCAAGCAAUUUGAGUCAACAAGUUUUUGAUGAAUUGGUGCUUUAACACGUUCUUACUGAUGGGUCACUUGAAGUCUUUGGAGAUUGCGCUCCACGUGUUUUCUUUGUUGAUGGCUUAGAGAUUCAGACACUUGGAUAUGCUUAUGCUCCCUUUUCACUAUUGGUUCUUUAAAGAAAGUGUUGGAUUAUCUGAAUUCAUUCUGUUUGGCAAGAUGUUUAUUUGAGUGAAUAUCCCGGAGUACAGGAUAGUUGGAUGGAUGUCGUUUCUUCGCAAGGUUCCUCGCUACUUUCAAUUGAUAUCUCAGGCUGUGACGUGACUGAUACUGGGUUGGUUCUCCUCAAAAAUUGUUCAACCCUUCAAGAAUUAACUUAUGAUUAUUGUGAACAGAUUUCAGAAAAUGGGCUGAAAUAUAUUAGUGGUAAUUUUAUUCUUUGGAGCCUUGAUUUGCAAAGCUUCUAGGUUUGUCAUCCACCACUUUUAUUUUUGCUUGAGUUUUUUGUUAUUUCGAUGUGCUAUGUAUUGUUGUUUUAACGUUCUUUACUUUAUUUGGUUUAUCAUAUGGAUUCUUGGUGCGAUCUUCUCUCUUCUGAAUUUCAAAUUAGGUUUGGCAUUGCUUUUGGAGCCUUAAUUUGCGUAGAUUCCAGGUUCAUCCUAUACCAGUUUUCUUUAUCUGCUCGGGUCUCAUUUGCUUAUGCUAAUGCUUCAGGUCACCAUUGUUAGUGACUAAUCUGCUUAUAUUUUCCUGUUUGAGACGAGUACAAGAAAGUCAGGAUCAAGAUUAUUUGCUCUUCUUUAUGUCAUCUUUUGGGAAAUGAAGGUCUCCUCUCAUCAGUUACUGAUAUGCAAUUCCUUUACACAUAGCACAUGUUGAUGAUGUUGAUGAUUGAUUCGGGUUUAAAUGGUAUGGGCAAUGUUUCUCUCAACUAGGUCUUCCUGACAAAACUUUUCUCCAUUUGGUCCACCGUCAUCUCAGCUAAACUUUCCAUCUCCUCGCAAAUCACGUUUUGAUCGCCAAGGCACAAUUGCCACUUCACUUCCUUUGUCCAAAGUAUUUUUAAUGCUAUUAUUCAUAUGGUUUUGGUGUGUUUUUUGCUUGAUCUCUCUGUUUCUGAUUCCUUAAGCAGCGAAGAAGAAUGGCAUGGAGGUAUCUGAACUGAUUGUGGCUUGCAUCUCCUCCAACUUAGCCUUACAAGUAUUAAGACGAGGUUAGCAAUGUGGAAUUUGGACUGCACUGGUGCCAUCACUGUGUCUAUUCCUUUAAAUGUGUAUUCUUUCUUUUCUUUGAAGUUCAGUUUUUAUUUUGGGGUGAGCUUACCCAUUCACUUACCUAAUUAAUCCUUAUUGCACAAAUUAUGUUAGAUAAGGAGCUGUGUUAUUUUCUUUCUUUUUUAUUCUUUCUGCGUUAAAUUUAUCUCUCUGUCUUCUCUUUCUUCGUGUGCAUUGUCACUGACGAGGGUCAUGUUCCGUCCUCCAAUACCCUUGACAUUAAAGGAACCGAAGGUUUAUAUGAGAUCAGACGAUUAGGAAGUGUAGACUGAUGGUUUUUGCUACAGCAUGUAAAGAAAGGAUUCAUGGGUUUGGAACUGUAGACUGAUGGGUUUUCUGGCUCAUGUGAAUUAGGAUCUAAAUUGUCUGAAUUAUAGAAGAACUGGUGGCUAGGAUUUGGCAAUUAGAUUGCUGCAUGGCUUUAAUAUAUAUGACAAAACUAUAUGGAGUACAUGGAAGUCCGAAUGAUCACUAUUGCCCUUGAAAAUAAAAAAGUGUUGAUUCUUAAGAUAAAUAUAUCCCUCAGAAAAAAAUGAUCUAGCCAUGAUCCAGUUGUGAUGUAGCCUCAGAAAACUGAUCUAGCGCUGAUCCAGUUGUGAUG